rnacentral:tRNA from 1 species
GCCCCAAUGGCGGAACUGGUAGACGCGCCGGACUCAAAAUCCGGUUCUGGCAACAGAGUGUGGGUUCGAUUCCCUCUUGGGGCACCA